rnacentral:lncRNA from 1 species
UGGUAGAGAAUUCUUUAUCUUCAUUGCAUAUUAGACUAGUGUCAUUAUCUUCCAAAUUUAUAAGUUCUGCCUCUAGUUUUUCUAAAUGUAUAGCUUCUUGUGUAUCUGAUUCUUCUAUAGUGAUUUUGGUUUUUCCUUUUUCUAGGAUGGUUAAUCUUUGUUCUGGAUUAUUUACUCGGGUUUCUAGAGUUGAUACUCUUAAAUUUAAGAUUUGAUUGUCUGUAUAUUUUUGUUCGUUAUUUAUUUCUGAUUCUAAUUUUAUCUUUAAAGUGUUUUCUAUACAGUUUAUACAAGCUUCUAAAUAACAUUUUUUACAUUUAGCUCUAUUAUCUUUACUUGGAUACCAAUUGCAUAUACG